rfam:Loxodonta africana unplaced genomic scaffold scaffold_6, whole genome shotgun sequence.
GCAGUGGUGGUUCAGUGGUAGAGUUCUCACCUUCCAAGUGGGAGAUCUGGGUUCUAUUCUCAGCCAAUGCA